rnacentral:rRNA from 1 species
GACGAACGCUGGCGGCGUGCCUAAUACAUGCAAGUAGAACGCAGUUGCGAACGGGUGAGUAACGCGUAGGUAACUGCCUGGUAGCGGGGGAUAACUAUUGGAAACGAUAGCUAAUACCGCAUACUACCAGAUGGACCUGCGUGGUAUUAGCUAGUUGGUGAGGUAACGGCCCACCAAGGCAACGAUACAUAGACGACCUGAGAGGGGGGUCCGCCACAAUGGGACUUGGACCCGGCCCAGACGCCCACGGGAGGCAGCCGUAGGGAAUUAUCGGCAAUGGGGGGAACCCUUACCGGGCAACGCCGCGGGAGUGAAGAAGGGUUUCGGAUUGUAAAGCUCUUUUGUUAAGGAAGCGGUACUUACCCAGAAAGGGACGGCUAACUACGUGCCAGCAGCCGCGGUAAUUC